CAGCAUGGUGCUGAUCUGCAGCCCUGCGGCUGCUGGUUGCCUUUGGAGGGCUGCAUUGAAGGAGAGCAUGGAAGGAGAGCAUUUAGCUUCAGCUAAAUGAAGGAGGGCAUGAUCACGGAAUCAUAGAAAAGUGCAGCUCACAGCAUCUCCUGGAGGAGCCUGACCUGGUGACGAAGCCCUACAACACACUGUCGCUGUUCUGCAGCAGUUUUGAUCCCACCGUCAUACAGUGUUGCAUGGACGUGACCAAGGGCAGCUCUGUGGGAGGAAGCCAGGAGGAGAAACCUAAAGGAUCCCGUGCUCCUUGCACAGCAGUGCUGGCUGCUUUGUUCACCACCAGAAAGAAGGGAAACAGGUCAGUUCAACACCCCCAAACCUGGCAUUAGCAGUCAGUGCCCCACGUGGAGCCAUCAGGAUCAUCUCCAAAUGACGUGGCACGUCAGUCCUGCUGGAGCUAUGGCCAGGGCUGACGUUUUCCAUUACCAGAAGGGAGGGUGGGGAAAAGUAUUUUUAACAUGUAUUUAUAGACCUCACCGUGAUGCAGUUUUUCCCAAACUUCGGGUGAAGAACAAUGGACAAAGAGCUUUGUGUUAGGGCUGCUGGUUAGGAACAACAGGAGCACGGCUCCUGUGGGGAAGGAAAAGGUGAGUAAUGGGGGCAGUGCUGCGUGUGGGGAGGCGUGGGGAGUGAAAUCUGUUGGGGGAGCACCAGUGCAAUGGGUGAGGAACCACUGCAGCACUGUGGGUGCCCCAUCCCUGGAGGUGUCCGAGGCCAUGGGGGGCACCCAGCCCACAGCAGGGAGUUGGAAUUGGAUGCGCUUUAAGGCCCCUUCCAACCCAACCAUGCCAUGAUUCUAUGAUAGAACACCAUAUAGAGCAGUGUGCAGGGGAAACCAGCCUCCUCCUGUCCUCGACUUAUUUGUCCUGAAGCUUGAAAGCUGAUUAAGAAUCACUUACUUACGCUGAUGGGUUUCAAAUGAUACUAGCAGGGCACACUGCUCUCCUCCAGCUGCCCAUUAAGGUUUCAAUUUACGGGCUUCGCACAGAGGCGGGUGAAGCUGUAGGGCCAGGGUGUGAGCUGCUGGAAUGACCUCUGUUAGCAGCCAGGCAGUUCAUUAAAUAGUAAAGAGCUGAACAAUUUCCAGCUAAAUAGCACACCGAGCGUCCCUUAUUUCAUUUCCUGUUUUUUAAAGGAAGUAUAAAUUAUUUACUAAUGUGCCUUAAGUCCUUUAAGUGAAUUCAGGCACUGAAGCAAUAUCUUGUUUAGUGGGGCAGAUGCCCAAAGGGAAGUGUCUGAGUGAUGGACCUGUUUGUGAACAAUUUAUCAGAGUUAAUGGGGGAAUUUAAUGAGGCCAGCUCUCCAAUCCGUCGGGCUGAUGGCUCAGGCUCCCAUACUUUGGGAACAAUUUGCAGAUGAAGCUCAGAGAGGUUGUGGUGCAGAACUUCCAACGUUGCUGAUUUGAAAUUGCAGGGGUGUUGGUCAUAGAAUCACAGAAUGGCCUGGGUUGAAAAGGAGCACAGUGCUCAUCCAGUUCCAACCCCCUGCUAUGUGCAGGGUCGCCAACCAGCAGCCCAGGCUGCCCAGAGCCACAUCCAGC
ensembl:lncRNA